GACGAACGCUGGCGGCGUGCUUAACACAUGCAAGUCGAACGGAAAGGCCCCUUCGGGGGUACUCGAGUGGCGAACGGGUGAGUAACACGUGAGUAACCUGCCCUUGACUUCGGGAUAACUUCAGGAAACUGGGGCUAAUACCGGAUAGGAAUCCUUGCUGCAUGGUGGGGGUUGGAAAGCUUCGGCGGUUUUGGAUGGACUCGCGGCUUAUCAGCUUGUUGGUGGGGUAGUGGCUUACCAAGGCUUUGACGGGUAGCCGGCCUGAGAGGGCGACCGGCCACAUUGGGACUGAGAUACGGCCCAGACUCCUACGGGAGGCAGCAGUGGGGAAUAUUGCACAAGGGGCGGAAGCCUGAUGCAGCAACGCCGCGUGCGGGAUGACGGCCUUCGGGUUGUAAACCGCGUUCAGCAGGGGCGAAGCUUGUGGUGACGGUACCUGCAGAAGAAGCACCGGCUAACUACGUG
rnacentral:rRNA from 1 species